rnacentral:lncRNA from 1 species
AGAACUUAAAUUUUUUUGUGAUUUUAGAAAUGUUUGAGAGUUUUUGUAGAAUAAUUCAUUUUCUGUGAUGGAGUAAGAUCUUACAAGUUUAAGAUUUUGAUGGAAAAUUCACGGUUAAAGAUUUAUUGAAGGGAGGUGAACUCUUAAAUAGUAGAUGUUAUGUUUAAGAUUUUGACUAAAAAUUUAAAAUUCUUUUACUAAAGAGGUUCAAUUUGACAUGCUAAUUACAAAAUGGGUAAAAUGUUACAAUUACAAUGUGAGAUUAUAAUUAAUUUGAAAAUAUAACUCAAAACAAGAGUAGAUACAAGGGGAAAUGGGAGAGGACACUAUCUUAUUUAAGGGAAAGAAAAUGACUUCAUAAAGAAGAGAUGACUAAAACGAAGACAAGAGGAACAACCGACAACAAUUCACAGGGAGACAACAACUCACACGAAGACAAGAGGAAACAAUUGACAAUAACUCAGAGGGAGACAACAACUCACAGAGAGUAAUUUCAACUCAAAUUUUACACUACACUCAUUAUUAUUUAUAAUCUUACUGACUUGAGCGUUGUACCAUCUUCUACAGGUGGAACCCUCUCAUUUCUUUGGAACCAAUUCAUGAAGUUGGAAGGAUACAAUUCGAUGACCAUCUCGAAAUUUAACUGUCAACUACAUGCUCUGAUGAUUGAUAGAUAUCCUCUUCACUAGAAUAUUUAUCAUUAAAGAUGCAUUAAGUUGAGAUGUUGUUGCUCAAAUAUCAAAUUAGCAGUUUUGGAGAAGGAGGAACCUGAAACAACAAAUAAAAUGAUUGUCGGUUAGUUUUUUACAUUAUUGUCAAUGGUGAGAGUAGCAGAUUUGGAAAUGACAGUAAGUAGUGGGCGAGUUUGAUAUGAAAAUCUGAGAAGUAACAAGUGACAUAGAGCAUGGGUCAAGCUCUGAAACUAGCAGUGUAGUGCACAAUUAAAAUGACAGCGUGAAGCAAGGCUUUUAGCAUGCUAUCCCAACACCCCCAUGAUAACAGCAUAUAUUAUACCAUAUCUUUCGGUAUGGUGCUACUUAUUAUGAUGUUCCCUUUAAUAAAUUGUUACUGUUCACUUUGAUUUACAUAAUGUGAAAGAGGAAAGGUGGAUUUACAUGGAAGAAUUGCAUCAUCGACACCUUCAAGGAUAAAAAGAAUCCUAAGGAAUCAACCAAGUUUGUUGUAAGUACAAAAAGUUUGCACUUAUUAGGUCAAAAUGUCCACACAUCGCCUUCAAGCUUUGGACCAAGAUCCUUGACCUUUCAGGGAUGUGAAUGUUCAUUAUUUCUUUCCUACUAUAUAAAGGGAUUCAUUAACUUGAUCGUCUAAAAGACUCCAAACACUUAUUCUUUGUUUUAUAUACAAACACUUAUUGUUUGUUUUAUAUACAUGUACAAACCUUGGACGUCCAAUUAUAGUACCUUUUAAAAUAUUAUUUUUCAUGUUUUUUUAUUUAAGAUUAAAG